UACGGGGGGGGCAAGCGUUGUUCGGAAUUACUGGGCGUAAAGGGCGCGUAGGCGGUUGGAUAAGUCAGCUGUGAAAACCACGGGCUUAACUCGUGGCCUGCAGUUGAGACUGUCUGGCUUGAGUGUGGGAGAGGAGAGUGGAAUUCCUGGUGUAGCGGUGAAAUGCGUAGAUAUCGUAAGGAAGACCAGUGGCGAAGGCGGGUCUCUGGACAGUUCCUGACGCUGAGGCACGAAGGCCAGGGGAGCAAACGGG
rnacentral:rRNA from 1 species